rnacentral:rRNA from 1 species
GAUGAACGCUGGCGGCGUGCCUAAUACAUGCAAGUCGAGCGAACAGACGAGGAGCUUGCUCCUCUGACGUUAGCGGCGGACGGGUGAGUAACACGUGGAUAACCUACCUAUAAGACUGGGAUAACUUCGGGAAACCGGAGCUAAUACCGGAUAAUAUAUUGAACCGCAUGGUUCAAUAGUGAAAGACGGUUUUGCUGUCACUUAUAGAUGGAUCCGCGCCGCAUUAGCUAGUUGGUAAGGUAACGGCUUACCAAGGCAACGAUGCGUAGCCGACCUGAGAGGGAGAUCGGCCACACGGGAACUGAGACACGGUCCAGACUCCUACGGGAGGCCGCGGUAGGGAAUCUUCCGCAAUGGGCGAGAGCCUGACGGAGCAACGCCGCGUGAGUGAUGAAGGUCUUCGGCUCGUAAAACUCUGUUAUUAGGGAAGAACAAAUGUGUAAGUAACUAUGCACGUCUUGACGGUACCUAAUCAGAAAGCCACGGCUAACUACGUG